UAAUUGCUCUAACCAGCUCUCGUGAUUUCAAGAAGUGGACAAUCUAAUGCUGCAGAGAAGUUAAAGAACAGCUAGAGAGCGUGAUGAGGACAUUACAUAGACUCUCGUUAAAUAUGCAGCCAGUAAGCUCAGCUUCACCUACAGAACAGCAAGUCUGGCUCGGUCCAACAGGAACAAAAUCAACCAACCAGCACCUCUAAAGCUCAUCAGACAGUCCUUCAGGUCAGCCCGCUGUAAUUGGCCCAUUGAUUGGUGACAAGCCUGAUGCAAACCGGCGUCGUACAGACAAACAGCGA